GGGAGGGACGCCCCCUUAUCUGCGCAGAUCGCGGACGUGGUAUGAACCCGGGCGCGGGAAGGCUCUGGGAGUCGGAGUUCACGGUACGGGACCGGCCGCCGGUUCUCGCGUGUUCGCGAAGCACGUUUGCACCCCAACGUGGACACAGGUUUGAGCAUCUUCAGUUAAACUAGAAAUAUCAUUUUAGAAAAAUAUAUUUACUCUGUAUCUACACUCCAAAGAGCAACUGAAACAACCAAGAUUCUCCAAUGUAUCUUCAAAAUUAAACACUUUUCCUUAGUGGUA